CUCACUGGCUCAGGAGUGAAGCUGCAGACUUUCGCUUUCAGAUACGUCUUUAUAGAAGUGUGAGAAUGGACUAAUACAAGAAAUUGGUACCAGAAAAGUGGGACAUUCCUAUGAAGAUACCUGAAAAUGUGGAAGCUGCUUUAAAAUUGGGUAAGGAGCAGAGGCUGGAACAGUUUGGAGGGCUCAGAAGAAGGCAGAAAAAUGAGGAUGAGGAAACUAAGGCUUGAAGAUGUUAAGUGAUGAUUCCCAGAUCACACAGCUAUUUUGAGGCAGAGUCAAGAUUGGUACCAGAUCAUAUCAACAGUGAAAUACAGAAAAUCUUGAUAAGUGUCUACUUUGAUUUUUAUUUUUAUAGAUUCUGCCUAUUAAGUCAACUGUAUUUUUAUGCAAUAACUGGUUUUCAUAUUUGUAUUAAAUACUUGCAUCCACUCAGAGCUUCUGAUCAGAUUGAGACAGCCUUAUUGCUGGCUGCCAUUCCAACCAAAGUGACUACACUCAGGACAAGGUGUGAUUUAUUUCAAAGUUUAAAUCACUGGAUAUAGAUCAGCAAUAUAGUAUAUUAUCAUCAAUAUUAGAUUGAUUUAAUUUUUUAAUGAUGAUAUGAAACAGCAGCCAUCUCUCAGAAUCCUAAUAGUGUCUAUUUAAUGAGCACUUAUUAUACACUUGCUACUUUUCUGAGUGCUUUGCAUGACUUUGUAAUUUAAUCUUCAUACCAACCUAUAACAUAGGUACCAUAAGUAUACCCACUUCAUAGGUUAGGAUACUAAGACACAGAGGGAGUCUACAAUGUGUCCGAAGUCAAGAAGCCAGGACAUGACAGGAUAUUAAACCCACACAGCCAUGUCACAAGCCAGAGAUUUUCAUUAAAAAUAAUGUUACAGUGGGGACUUUAAUUCCUUCCUAAAAUUGAGAAUUCUAUCCUAUUGUGUCCCAUAUACUCCAGGAGGGGAAAUUAUAAUUGCCAGAGUUAUAACUAUGCAACAGCUAUGACCUAUUUCACCCUUAGCAGGGCUCCUACAAACUGAGCUGAUGUAAAUUACAGCAGAGGGCCCUUGGUGGCAGAAUCUUUGGUGGUCACUGGCCCAUGGCAUACCCAUGCUGGGGACACAAAGGCUGUGGUCUGAUCUCACUCAGAGACAUAUGCUUUCCUAAGAUAUGACAACUCCAUAAUUAGAAGAACUGCCUGAUCCCUUAACUCCAGUGACAUCCCCUGUCAAAUGAUGCCCUAAUCAGGGACAUGGGAGUGAUCAAGGUGGAAGUAAAGUGAACUAGAAGAUUGAGCGACUAUGUGCUGUGAUCCAUGCCCUUUUCUUGAUGAUCUAGUGUAAAUUUCAAAAUGGCCACCACCAGCCUCCUCUGCAUGCUCUGCCAAGAUCAGAAGUCUUAUAUUUUCCAAAUUAUGUACCAGACAGAAGCCAUUCAAGGUUAAAGGUCUGCAAUGCUAUGGAAUGAAUUAACAAGAGCCCAUUUACUGUUUCUGCUUCCAGUCUGAAAGGAAAUUUCUGGAAUCUGCAAAAGAUUUGGAAAAGUUAAGAAAUGGUAAGAUCAAGCCUCUAAGUGCCUCUGAGGAGGGUAUCUAGUAGAAGAUACACAGGGAGGUUUGAACAGCCAAGCAAUGCUUUGUGUAUGUAAGGUUGUAGUUGUUGAUGGUGGAGAAGGAGAAAAUCGAUAAAAUGGAAAGGGUGGGCUCUUAGAGCCGGUCUGGCAACUCUUUCCAGGCUAAAAAGGGCCAGACUUCUCUUUG
rnacentral:lncRNA from 1 species